AGAAUCAGGGGAAAGUAUAUAGCAAUUGUUGAAGUUAAUUAAGGUGCCAUCGCUGUGAUAGUUGUGAGUUGGGAUAAGCUUGGUACUACGUCUUUUUUUUUGUUUGUUAUUUUCUUUGAAUAAGAGGAUUGAGAGUUUUUGAAUAUUGUGAAGUAAAUUAUGGAAUGGAAAUGUGAUUGAUAUUAUUUGAGAAGAAGAAAGAUUGAAUGUUGAAAUCUGAUUGUAGUUCAGCAGAGAGAAUGAGUCUGUGUUUGUAUGAAACAUCGUAAUGUGAAUGGCAGUUCUGUG
rnacentral:lncRNA from 1 species